GAGCUAGGCUGACUCUAUAAUCACAGUCCCCAUUAUCUUGUCCUCCCCCAUCCAAACAAUGGGUUGGUUUAUCUAUAGUUUGGCCCAGAAACCCCAAAAUUCUGCCUGUUGAAGCACCCAUGAAACCUGUGAAGAUGGUAACCGGAUGAAAUGGGUAAUUUCUGCCAAUGCAAACCGUUCCAAGAUCCUGCACUCAACUGCACAAGCAUGCUGCGUUCCAUGUUCCCAUGAAUCCCGCAGGAUAUGCAAUAGCAGGGCCACGAUUAAAGCCAGAAUGGUGGUGGGAAUCAGAAGUCCCAUGACUUUGAUGAUCUGCCUUAAAUCACUCAGUCACUCAAUCCGACAGCGCGGUGGGGCCCCUGGGAGGAGACCACAGGGAAAGGUCAGCGAGUGCAGGAAUGCCACUUGAACUCCUUGGCUUUUCAUAUGUGGACAUUGAGUCCUUGUGAAUGUUCCUUGUGCAACAUCCAACACAAUAAAUGACUGUUCUGAUCCUUUAGUUAAAAGACUAAUAAGAAUAUUUUAUAUGCAUAUAAGCUGGAACAGUGUGGGAGAUUAUUUUGCAUGUGAAUCACUAUAAUAACUUUAAUAUUUUUUAUAGCACUAUAUGUUGUUCUUUUAGUGUAAAGAAAAGGGCAACUUGAUAAUUAGGCUAAGUUCACAUAUUUCAUAGCCAGAAGCAGCAAUAUUUGUUUGUUUGUUUUUUUAAUGCAUUUCUAUUUCUUUUUGAAAUCCAGCUUUAUACGAUUCUACUGUACUGUUUCUUGUAUACGCUUAAUCCCACACUGAGACAGGGAGCCCUGAAUUAUAAAAUAAGAAAAACAAAUUAAAUGUCUGUGGCUGCUAAAUAAUUCAUAAUUACAUGCAUGUUCCCUAGGGGAAGGAUUCCAGACUAGAAAUGAGAAUAUUUUCAGCUGAAGCUCUCUUGUGCAAACAGUAGGAUGGUUUGGCACAAAACAUGCUGGAAUUGGGAGCUGUGAUCCCCAGAUACACUGCAUACACUGUCAUCUCACUUUAGGUGCAAAAAAUUGGUUGUUUAAAAUAAUCAAUAUAGCCUAUUGUUGUUGUUGUUGUUAUUGAAUUAAAAGUUAUAUUAUGUGUUUUGAGGGGGCUGUGUGUUCUAGGUUUUUUCUUUCUUUCUUUCUUUCUUUUCUUUCUUUUUUUCUUGUUUUGUCUAGUUUUGUGUCUUUCUUUCUUUCUUUCUUCUUUUUUUCUGUUUUGCAGUUUUGUGCAGUAUGUUGGUUUUGAACACCUAUAGUCCAAAACCUUUUGUCCCCCAGACUAAAAUGUUAGCAUUUUCAUAUUUUUAUACAAAUAUAUAAAUGCAAUAAAACCACACUGGCAUACAUGAAUUCAAUCAUCAACUAUAUUAUGAAGGUAGAUUGUAACUGAAAGGCUGAACAUUCACAGGACAAUUAAGUGCAUUUUUCAGGAAUGACAGGGCAAGUCAGAUUUGCUUUAUCUUACAAAUGUAUUGAUAAUAUUUGUUGGCCAAAACGUUUUUUAAUGUUUUCACAUUUUUGUAAGUUAUCUUUUAAGUUAUUUUAGAUGCAUGA
rnacentral:lncRNA from 1 species